rnacentral:rRNA from 1 species
GACAGAGGGUGCAAACGUUGUUCGGAAUUACUGGGCGUAAAGCGCGUGUAGGCGGCUAAGUAAGUCGGGCGUGAAAUCCCACGGCUCAACCGUGGAAGUGCACUCGAAACUGCAUAGCUAGAGUCCUGGAGAGGAAGGUGGAAUGCUUGGUGUAGAGGUGAAAUUCGUAGAUAUCAAGCGGAACACCGGUGGCGAAAGCGACUUUCUGGUCCUUAACUGACGCUGAGGCGCGAAAGCAUGGGGAGCGAACGGG